CUCCAGUCAAAAGAAUAGCAGGUUGCAAAACCUGGAUUCAUCCCUGCCUGCUACUUUGAAAAAAUUCCAACAGGAAGAAGAGACAGCAAUAAGAGUAUUCUGGGUUUUCCUGCAAAAUCUGAAACAAAAGAUGAGUUAUUUUAAGAUGGUUUUAGGGAGGGAAAAGGAAGAUUUGGUGCAGAACUGGCCUUAUGUUGUGAAGAGAAUUUGCACUCAAAUCAAGGAUUUGGUCCUUUGCCAUGAAGACAGGUUGUGGUGCAGGAAGUCUCAACUGUAAUAGAUGAGGUUUCUGUCAUGAGAGAUCUUAUUUUUCUGCAACAGUUUGGACAGGCAGUCAUUCAGUGUUGUUGUUGUUGUCACUGUCAUUGUCAUAGUAAUAGUCUUCGUUUCCCUGAAAACUGCCACUCAAAGCAGCAUACCUAAAUUAAAACAAAUACAGUUAUAAGGACAUGUAAAGACCCAAGUGUCCUGGACUGCGGCCAGCACACACAAACAUACGCCAAUAAGGAUGGCUUAACAAGAUAAUUAGCUAUGCAGCUGGAGGUAGUCCACAAACCUUGCAGGGAGUGAGAGAGAGCAAACCGAAAGCCAAAGCCGAAGUCAGGAUAACAGGGAUCAUGAUAGUCAGUCCAGUCCAAGGUUAGGUCAGCCAGAGGGUAGCAAUAGUCCAGUCUGUUCCAAAGUCAAGAGUCAUGGCAACAAGAAAUCAAGAUACAGGGAGCCAGUGCAUGCAGCAAUCACACCAAAGGAUCAUACAAUUAACUCUGGCAUUGAGUUUGUGUCUCCCAGGUGGUUAAGUAGGAAACUCUCUUCUCGGUGCCAGCUGAGACUUGUUUGCCAAUUGUCUCUCAGCAAUUCUCCUGGACCGACGCACGCAAGCACUCUCAGCCCUGCGUUGUA